AGAUUGAACGCUGGCGGCAUGCCUUACACAUGCAAGUCGAACGGUAACGCGGGGCAACCUGGCGACGAGUGGCGAACGGGUGAGUAAUAUAUCGGAACGUGCCCAGUAGUGGGGGAUAGCCCGGCGAAAGCCGGAUUAAUACCGCAUACGACCUCAGGGUGAAAGCGGGGGAUCGCAAGACCUCGCGCUGUUUGGAGCGGCCGAUAUCAGAUUAGGUAGUUGGUGGGGUAAAAGCCUACCAAGCCAACGAUCUGUAGCUGGUCUGAGAGGACGACCAGCCACACUGGGACUGAGACACGGCCCAGACUCCUACGGGAGGCAGCAGUGGGAAUUUGGACAAUGGGCGCAAGCCUGAUCCAGCCAUGCCGCGUGCGGAAGAAGGCCUUCGGGUGUAACCGCUUUGUCGAGGAAGAAGUCCUUUGGACCUAAGUACCCCAGAAGGAUGACCGGUACCUAGAAGAAUAAG
rnacentral:rRNA from 1 species